rnacentral:rRNA from 1 species
AACGAACGCUGGCGGCAUGCCUAACACAUGCAAGUCGAACGAGACCUUCGGGUCUAGUGGCGCACGGGUGCGUAACGCGUGGGAACCUGCCCUUAGGUUCGGAAUAACUCCCCGAAAGGGGUGCUAAUACCGGAUAAUGUCUUCGGACCAAAGAUUUAUCGCCUUUGGAUGGGCCCGCGUUGGAUUAGCUAGUUGGUAGGGUAAAAGCCUACCAAGGCGACGAUCCAUAGCUGGUCUGAGAGGAUGAUCAGCCACACUGGGACUGAGACACGGCCCAGACCCCUACGGGAGGCAGCAGGGGGGAAUAUGGGACAAUGGCGAAAGCCUGAUCCAGCAAUGCCGCGUGAGUGAUGAAGGCCUUAGGGUUGUAAAGCUCUUUUACCCGGGAUGAUAAUGACAGUACCGGGAGAAUAAGCUCCGGCUAACUCCGUG